rnacentral:rRNA from 1 species
CAGUAGCCGCGGUAAUACGAAGGGGGCUAGCGUUGUUCGGAAUUACUGGGCGUAGAGGGCGCGUAGGCGGCCAUUCAAGUUAGAUGUGAAAGCCCUGGGCUCAGCCUAGGAAUUGCAUUUGAUACUGUUUGGCUUGAGUUCGGGAGAGGUGAGUGGAAUUCCCAGUGUAGAGGUGAAAUUCGUAGAUAUUGGGAAGAACACCAGUGGCGAAGGCGGCUCACUGGACCGACACUGACGCUGAGGCGCGAAAGCGUGGGGAGCAAACAGGAUUAGAUACCCGGGUAGUCCCUGUCUCUUAUAC